AGAAAAUGGAUUGAGAGAAGAAGAGAGAAAGAACUCUUUGAAGAAAAGGAUUAAUUGAUGAUCGAGGAAAGGAGGAAUAAAAGGGGACAAGAGAAAAAAAUGAAAAAGGAUUUCUACCAACAUUCGAAGACAUACUUUUUGAUGCUGAUAUAAAAACUUUCGUGUUUUUUAUUUGUGAAACUUGUAGAAAAUUUGGAGCACUCUCCAAAUUUUAUAAUGGAAAAUUUUG
rnacentral:misc_RNA from 1 species